rnacentral:rRNA from 1 species
GCACAAGCAGCGGAGCGUGUGGUUUAAUCGAUGCAACGCGAAGAACCUUUACCGAGGCUUGACAUGCCAGAAGUAGGAACUCGAAAGAGAGACCACCUGUAUCCAGUCAGGAACUGGCACAGGUGCUGCAUGGCUGUCGUCAGCUCGUGCCGUGAGGUGUUAGGUUUAAGUCCUGCAACGAGCGCAACCCUCGUCGCUAGUUAAAUUUUCUAGCGAUACUGCCCGUAAAACGAGGAGGAAGGUGGGAUGACGUCAAGUCAGCAUGGCCCUUACGCCUUGGGCUACACACACGCUACAAUGGGUGAUACAACGGGUUGCGAGAGAGCGAUCUGGAGCUAAUCCCUAAAAUCAUCCUCAGUUCGGAUUGCAGGCUGAAACUGCCUGCAUGAAGUUGGAGUUGCUAGUAACCGCAGGUCAGCACACUGCGGUGAAUACGUUCUCGGGCCUU